UUUGUCUAGAACUCCAGGUCACGUGGGCCCCGCUGGACUGCCUGGUUGGCUGCGAGCGGGCCGGGGGAGGGGGCCGGCCCUCCGACGCUGGCAGUGGGCCAGCCCCUCUCCUCCGGGCCGGGGGCGUAGGGGCCGGGGGGCGCGGUGGGGCCCUGCGGGUUCCCAGGGCCGGGCAGGGCAGGGCCGCAGGCGGUGCCCGCCCCCUCUCCCCCAACUCGGCAGGAGCUCUGCGCUGUCCGGGAGCGAGCGGGGAGCCCCCGGGAGCACCGCUGGGAGGAGGGCGGACGGGUGGGCCGGGACCGCUCUUUAGCCAGGUACGGAGGAGCGAUGGCACCUGCCCUGCCGGGCCCCAGAGACCCAGCACCUCCUAAGGACCACCUCACGCCCUAGGUGCCUGGCCUUCAGCCGCAGUCAGUGGGGACACGCUAGCCCGAACGGGUGCCGGUAGGGUGCAGGCAAGAGAUGUGCUGUGAAGGACAACCCGCCUUCUCUCCCGCGGCUCAGCCCCCUUCUGAUCUCGCAAGCACCAAGAGGAAGGAGGAGGACUCCAGAUCAGAACGCCUUCUCCAGAUAAUUCUUGGGGAGUACAGGCCACCCUCUCUCAGCCCCGGGUGGGACCCAGGAUCCACACAGCACGAAGGAGCCAUUCGACGAAACACAGGCCCUUCUCUCUCCCAACCCCUCUUUCCACCCAGUCCUGGUAUCUGUCUGGUACAGUUUUUCAGGAGAUGCCCUGAGAAGCCCUGAGUUUAUGCCUCUGGCCUGCUCCCACCCUUGAUGGGACGUAACAGGACUUGCUUAGCUGGUUCCCUCCCCGAUGCCUCCUCGGCACCCUGGGCCCUGUCGACAGGCCUCCUCUCAAAAGGAAGUCUGUGAUCAGGCACGCCUGGCUCUCCUUAGCAGCACUCCAUCCCAUGCACGGCCCCUCCUUUUCCAUUGGACUAGACAACUGAACACCUUCACCUCUACGCUCUGUCAGUCUGGGAACUGCUUCAGCCAGGACUCAAAGCCUCAGCUUGGACCAGAGCCAUCAGCCUCACUUUCUCUUGGCCAAGGUAAAGAAGCGGCCUCUCACCCUCAGCUCCCAUCUUAAGCAAAA